GCCGGGUGCGGUGGCGCGCGCCUGUAAUCCAAGUUACCGGGAGGCUGAGGCUCGAGGAUCGUUUGAGCUCAGGAGCUCUGAGCUGCAGCGGACUAUGCCGAUCGGGUGUCCGCACUAAGUUCGGUAUCGAUAUGGUGUUCCUUGGGGAGCUCGGGACCACCAGGUCGUCUAAGGAGGGGAGAACCGGCCCAGGUCGGAAACGGAGCAGGUCAAAUCCCCCGUGCCGCUCAGUAGUGGGAUCGCGCCUGUGAAUAGACGUUGGAGUGCAGCCUGAGCAAUACAGCGAGACCCAGUCUUU
rnacentral:SRP_RNA from 1 species